AAUGGCUGAAAAGCUGAUCCAGCCAUCCCGCGUGAAGGUAGAAGGUCCUAUGGAUUGUAAACUUCUUUUCUCUGGGAAGAAAAAGCUUGAUUCAUCAAGCCCUGACGGUACCAGAGGAAUAAGCACCGGCUAACUCCGUGCCAGCAGCCGCGGUAAUACGGAGGGUGCAAGCGUUAUCCGGAUUCACUGGGUUUAAAGGGUGCGUAGGCGGGCUUAUAAGUCAGUGGUGAAAGCCCGGAGCUUAACUUCGGAACUGCCAUUGAUACUGUAAGUCUUGAGUACACUUGAGGUGGGCGGAAUACAUCAUGUAGUGGUGAAAUACUUAGAUAUGAUGUAGAACACCGAUUGCGAAGGCAGCUCACUAAAUUGUAACUGACGCUGAGGCACGAAAGCGUGGGGAUCAAA
rnacentral:rRNA from 1 species